UGGACACUUAAAAGGAAUUGUGUGAAGUGGGCAGUGGCUCUGGAGUCCACCGCCUUAUUUGGUAUGGAAAUUUGUUUCUCUCAAAAUAAGAGAGAGGUGUUUGUAAGUGGGAACUUAGUCCUUUGCUUGAGCUGGUGGAGUCCUCUUGCCACUGUCCGGGUCCGUUUGGGCGACUAUUAACAGAAAACCACAGGCCUGGGCCGGGGCUGGGGUUCAUAAACCGGAACUUCACACCUCAUCGUGCUGAAGGCCAAGGCCCCAAGCAAGGAGCUGGCGGAUUUGGUGGUGGGUGAGGGCCCCACGCGUGGUUUGCAGAGCACGUGGAACAAGUGUGAAGCCUGUGGUCAGAAGAGACUCCCUGUGACAUCAUGUGGAUGGACUGUGGGUGAGGAGCCACGAAGUAACAAAAGUGCCAGGCGGGCCUGAGUCAUCCACCCUUGCCUUCAGGACCUGCUGCAGUCUGAUGUCGUCUGUCCCAUUGGCAUUGAUAAGGAACCGUGGUAUACAUUUAAUUGAAGAUGGGCACCUGGAGGCACUUGGUAACUUGUGCCCCAUGGUCCACAUGGGUCCUGCCUGGCGCUCAACACCAAAGCUGCUAGAAACUAGGUCUCAAAAGCAGUUGUCUUCAGAGGUCAGUUCCCGAACUCCAACAGUCGGUCCAGGGACAGCUACAGGAGCCUGCUGGGGGCACCAUGCAGAACCUCACAUGGCCAGAUUUUCCAAGUCCCUUGGUCCUGCUGGGAAGACAGGAUGGAGGAGGACGGCACCUGAACGUCAUACAGAACCUUCUCCCUGCUCUCUCUGCUCACUCUGGAGGCCGUGCCGGGUAGCAGGAUCCAGCCGAGGAGCAUCCUAAGGGAGCUGUAUGCCACGCCCAAAUCCUGGGCACCGGUGUGCUGCUGGUGGUCCUCUCAAAGAGGACACCUCUGCCUGCCCUAAAGCUCCACGGAGAUGUCAGGCAUCCUCUGCCAGGCCUGGGGCUGCAGGCCUAGGGAGUUUACUGUUUCUCUCAUGUCAGGGCCAGCCCGCAAGGUGCUGUCAGUGCGGUCUCUACCUUAUCUAAAACCCCCAGUGGAUACCUGAAAUGGCAGAGUGUGGAACUCUGGAUAUAUUAUCUUUCUUCUCUGGGAAAUGUUUAAUUUAUAAACUGGGAAUGGUGGUUCAUGUCCAUGGUCCCGGCGUUCAGUAGGCUGAGGCCAGAGGGUCCCUGUGCCGAUGCCAGCCUAAACCACAUAGUGAGUUCAAGUCCAGCCUAAACUAUACAGUGAGUUCCUGUCUCAUAAAGAACAAAAGAAGUGAGCCAAGUAUGGAGGCUCACACCUGUAAUACCAGCACUCGGGAAACUGAGGCACAAGCCACAUACUGAGUUCAAGGCCAGUCUGAUCUAUAUAGUGAGACCUUGUCUCAAACCAAAACAGAACAGAACAAAACAACAAAACGACUGGGAACGUGACCCAAUGUGAAGACUGUAGCCCUUCCAAAGAAGACAGAAGCAGUCUUUCCUUCUUCCUGUUUUAUUUCUCUUUUCUAGCAUUUUCCCUAGGGCAGGUCUUCUACACUCAGAACUAUGUGAGCCAAUUUAGUUGGGUGCUACUUAUUUAAGUUGACACAAUGAAUUAAGUAUCACAGUCUACACUUUGUUAACUUGACUAUGGUUCUUUAAACCAUUGUCUCCAGAUACAAAAAUAAGAUCAUUAUUAUUAUUUUUUCUUUUUGAGACAGGGUCUCGCUAUGCAGUUUAGGCUGGCCUUGAGCUCACUUUGUAGACUAGGCUGGUCUCGAACUCGCAAUGAUCCUCCUGCCUCAGCCUCCCGAGUGCUGGGAUUACAGGCUGGAGCCACCAUGCCCAGCAAAAACAAGUUCAUUAAUAAGCCUAAUAUGUUAUAAGCAUCCUGUGUACAAACAGAAAAACACUAAUUCUUUCCCUAGAACAGAAGGCAAGGUUUCUUCAGACAAUGCUUUCUCUUAACAUUUCAUAACUUGAAGAUUAUAGCAUAGGUUUAACAGUAUUUAAGAAUCAAUAUUAAAUUUGUCAACAUUUUAUUACAUUGGAAUCAUUAGGAGCAACUAUUACAAUCCUCAUUGCCAUGACUCUACCUGACCGUGUGGUCCAGCAGCCUUUCGGACUGGCCUGUGGGAAGGGUUUGGAAAGGUUUGCAGACUGAGGCUGUGCUUGAUGAGAGACUCUGGCCAGAACUCAGAAGGCCGGAAGGCUGCUAGAAACACUGCUGGGAAAGACCAGGCUGGGCAGAAGGACUGCAUUGGCUGUUGGACUCCAGGUCAUGUGUGGGCUUUUUUUUUUUUUCAUUUAAAAAACUUUAUUGGUACAUAGUGAUCACAUUCACCAUAGGGAGUUUGUACCUGUACAGGUUGUAUCUUGCUUCUUCUUUUCUUACUCUCCUCCUCUCCCUUCCACUCCUUAUUUACAGAAGCUUCAUUUCCAUUUUUCCUUAGUCUUUUUUUCUUUUCUUUUCUUUUUUUUUUUUUGCUUUUUCCUUCUUUCCUCCCCUCCCUGAUUCCCCUUAUCAUUGGAACAGUUUCUGCCCAUUUCUCAGUAUCUGUUUUUAUAUUUUGAUCCUUAUUUACACUUUUAAUUUCUCACACCAAAUGGUAUUUAAACAUGUGUCCAAUUUAUUUCACUUAAGAGUAUGGUUCUGAGGUGCAUCCAUUCAGCUAGCAAUGUCUCAAGCAUAUGCUUCUUUAUGGCAAAGCAGUACAACUCCAUUGUAUAAAAACCACACCUUCCUUAUCCAUUCUUCAGUUGAUGGACAUUUGGGCUGCUUCCAAGAUUUAGCUAUUGCACACUGUGCCAUCAUAAACAUGGGUGUGCAUAUAUUGCUGUGAUAUGGUGCUUGUAAUUGUUUUGGGAAAAUACCAAAGAGGGCAACAGUCGUGUUGAAUGGAUCUCUAGUUUUAGUUUUGAGCAAUCUCCACACUGGUUUCCAUAUUGGUUGCAGCCGUCUGUAUUCCCACCAACAGUGGAGAAGGGUUUCUUUCCCCCCACAGCUCUGCCAGCAUUUGUUAUUGGUUGAUUUUUUGAUAAUAGCCAUUCUUUCUGGAGAAAGAUGGAGUCUCAGCAUUGUUUUAAUUUUCAUGGCUCAAAUGAUCAAUGAGUUGAACAUUUUUUUUCAUAUAUUUCUACUUCUUCAUCUGAGAAGUGUCUAUUCAUUAUAGAUGUCAAUUUUUGAAUUGUGUCUUUAAGUUUGGGGAGUGUGUGAUUUUUUGAGUUUUUUUUAUAUUCUAGAUAUUUGUCUUUUGUCUCAGGAACAGCUGGCAAAUUUUUUUACAACUCUGUGGGUUGUUUCUUCGCUCCAUUGGUGAUUUCUUCUGCUGUAUGGAAGCUUUCUAAUAAGAUCUCAGUUGUUGAUUCUUUCUGACAUUUCUUGUGGAAUUGAGUCUUUUUCAUAAAGUCUUUGAGAGUUCCAGCGAUUCUAUCUUCCAGCAGAUUUAGUAUUUCUGUUUUAAUAUUUAGAUCUUUGAUCUAUUUUGCUUUUAUCUUAGUACGUGGUAAAAGACAUGGAUCUAUUUUUAAUUUUUGGUAUGUGGAAAACUAUUUUUUUUUUGGCCAGUACCAUUCUGUUUUUAAUCAAAUAGCUUUGCAGUGUAAUUUCAAGUCAGGGAUUGUGAGGUCCCCUACCUUGCCUUUGUUGCCCAGAAUUGCUUCUGCUAUUCUAGGUCUCUUUUGGUUCCAAAUGAGCUUUAGGAUUGUUUUUUUCUAAUUCUAUGAGAUAUGCUAUUGGUAUUUUGAUCAGGAAUGCAUUACAUCUGUAUAACAAGUUUGAAAGUAUAACCAUUUUUUACUAUAUUGGCCUCUUCCUACCCAAGAACAAGGAAUAUCUUUCCAUUUUCUGAUAUCUUCUUCAAUAUUUGUUUUUUAGAGUACUGUAGUUUUAUUUUUUUCAAAUCCAUUUUAUUUCAAGGAGAAAAAGUAAAAGGAAGAAAGAAAAAAAAGAGCAAAAUUUCAAAACACAUUAACCAGGUACACACAUUGCUCAUUGUCAUCCCCAAAUCAUUCACCCAGAGCAAAGACACCUGCAUUCAAUUGUCCGAACAGUACCAGCACAAAUCUUUCUCUUCAGUGAAUUCAGAGAAAUCAGCAGCAUAACUAUCUUAACUAUUUCUAUAUACAUAUACAUACUCAUAUAUAUACGUUGUUUAUAGUUUCCAAUGGAGAGGUCUUUUACUUCCUUUGUUAGAUUGAUUCCUAGGUAUUUCUCUCUCUCUCUCUCUCUCUCUUUUUUUUUUUUUUUUUGGAUGCUAUUGUGAAAGGUUUUGUUUUCCUGAUGUCUCUCUCAGUGAGUUUGUUAUUUGUGUACAGGAAUGCUAUUCACUUUUGAGUGUUGACUUUGUAUCCAGCUAUGCUACUGAAUUUUGUUAUUAAAUCUAGAAGUCUUUGGUGGAGUUUUUGAAGUCUUCUAUGUAGAGUAUCACAUUAUCUGCAAAUAAUGAUAAUUUAAAUUCUUCCUUUCCUAUCCUUAUUCCUUUUGUUUCAUUUUCUUGCCUCGUUGCUCUGGUAAUGUUUCCAGGACUGUAUUGAAUAAGAGUGGAGACAGUGGACAUCCUUGAAUUGUUCCUGAUUUUAGAGUGAAAGCUUUCAGUUUUUGUCCAUUUAAUAUGAUGAUGGCUGUGGGUUGUUCAUAGGUUGCUUUUAUCAAGUAGAGAUAAAGGCCAUCUAUUUCAGUUUUCUGCAGGUUUUUUUUCUUUUUCAUUUUCUCUCUCUUUCUGUCUUUCUCUUGGUACCAGAGAUUGAACUCAUGACCUUGUGCUUGCCAGGCUGAGCUUGAUUGAACUCAUGACCUUGUGCCACUGAGCUCUAUCCCCAAAGUUUUGUUUCCUGUUGUUUUUUUUAAAUCAUGAAUGAGUGUUGGACUUUGUCAAAUACUUCUCCUGCACCUUUUGAGAUGACCAUAUGGUCUUUGUGCUCGGCUUGGUUAAUAUGCUGUAUUACAGUUAUUGAUUGACAUGUGUUGAACCAUUCCUGCAUUCCACUUGAUUAUGGUCUUGAUGAUUUGCCUCAUUUUGUUUACCAGUAUUUUAUUGAGGAUUUUUACAUCUAUGUUCAUUAGGCAGAUUGGCUAUAGUAUUCUUUUUUGGUUGGAUUCUUUUCAGGGUAAUGCUUGUUUCCAGAAAUGAAUUUGGAGUAUUGCUUCCCUUUCACUUGCAUUAAAGUUUGAGAAUUAGCAGCAUUAGGUCUUCUCUAAAUUUCUUACAGAAUUCAGCAAUGAGUCCAUCAGGAUUUUUCUUUUUAGUAGGUGGUUUUCAGUUAUAUCUUCAAUUUCAUUGACUAAUAUCAAUUUAUUUAGAAUUUUUAUAUCUUUUUUAUUCAACUUUGGUAAUUCAUAUAUAUUUAGGAACCUGUCCAUUUCUUGUUUUCCUUUGUAUUAGAAUGCAUGUUCUUGAAAUAGAUUUUGAUGAUCUUCUGGAUUUCUGUAGGCUCUGUUGUGGUUUCACCUUUUUCUUUCCUAAUUGCAUGGACUUGAGUAUUUUCUUUCUUUUUUAAAAUAAGGUUGAUGUCUUGGUUACUUCUGUUGCUGGGAUGAAAUACCCAACACCCAAACUUAAAGAAGGAAAAGUUUGCUUAGCUUACAGUUUGUGGAGGUUUCAGUCCAUAGUCAGUAGGCUCCCAGGCAGAGUGGUGCAGCAGAGUGGAAACAGUUAUGGCUGCAGAAGACAACAAAGCAACAGGAGCAAAAAAGAAGAGAACAAGUCUCUCUUCCUCCCUUAUAUUGUAAAGCAGGCUCCCCACAAGGCUUGUAUCGCACCCCUACCACCUCCAAGCCUUCCUCUUGCACAGGAGGAGGGUGUUUACAAAGUGAGGACCGUGGUCCUCAGCUGAGUUUCCUAGUUAAACUUCUAAACUUCUUAAAUUGACAAAGAACAACAUCUUGGAGCAGUAAAGGCAUGUCCUCUAUACCCGAAAAGGUGGAACUGCUGAGUUACUUAGUCAAGCUUUUCCAUCUUAUUAGAAUGCACAUUUUUGAAAUAGGUUUUCAUGAUCUUCUAGGUCUAUGUAGGAUCUAGUGUGUUUCACCCUUUUCAUUUCUAAUUACAUGGGCUUGAGUUUUUCCUUUUUUGAUAAUAUUGGCUACUGGUUUGUCAAUUUUACUUAAUCUUUCACAAAACCAACCAAUUCAUUGAUUCUUUGAAUUGUUUUCUUAGACUCUAUUAUAUUAAUUUCUGCUCUGAUCUUUAUAAUUUCCUCCCUCAUUUGAGAUUUGGGCUUGACUUGCUUAAGGUUCAACAUUAAGUUGUUUAUUUGAGCUUGGUCUGUUUUUUCGAUAUGGGAAUUCACCACUAUAAAUUUCCUUCAUAAGACUGCUUACAUUAUGUCCCAUAAAUUCCAGUAUGUUGUAUUGACAUUAUUGUUUACUUGUAGAAAUUGUCUAAUUUUUUUUUUUUGAGAUAUGGCCUCCCUUGGUAGCCAAGGAUAACUCUGAACAUGUGUGCUGGGAUCACAGGCAUGCACCACCACACCCGGCUUCCAAUUUCUUCCAUUUCAUCUGUGACCAAUGAUUGUUCAGGAGGGUCAUACUUAGUUUCCUUGUGUUUAUGAAGUUUUUAUGGUUUCUUUUGCCAUUGGUUUCAAAUUUUACAGCACUAUGGUCUGAUAAUAUGUAUGAGGUAAUUUAAAUUCCUUUGCAUUUACUUAAACAUUUUCUAUGAGCUAGUAUGUGGUCUAUUUUGGAGACUGUCCCAUGUGCAGAUAAGAAGAAUGUGUAUUUUGACUUUGUGAGGUGGAACGAUCUUAGAUAUUUACUAAGUCCAUUUGUUCAAAAGUUUGGUUGGGUUCUGAUAUUUCUUUGUUGAUUUUUUUGACUAGUUGAUCUAUUUGUGACAGUGUGAUAUUGAGGUCUCCCAUUACAAUUGUAGUGUUUAUUUGAUUUUUCAAAUAUUUUUGAUAUUUGUUUUGUAUUUGGGUGAGCUAGUAUGCAUAUAUAUAUAUAUGCAUUUUGAUGCAUAUAUAUUUAUGAUUGUUAUCUCUUCCUCUUGGAUUAUUCACUUUACCAGGAUGUAGUGACUUUUUUUUGUCUCUCUCUCUCUCUUUUUUUUUUUUUAUUGGUACCAGGAUUGAACUCACAACCGCCUGCUUGCAAGGAAGGUGCUUAUGCCGCUGAGCUAAAUCCCCAACCCCUUUUUUCUCUCUCUUAGUCUUGUCUUGUAAUCCUCUUUGUCUGAAAAUAAAAUUGUUACUCCUGCUUUUUUCUGAGUCCCUGUUGCAUGGGGUGUGGUUUUCCAUCCUUUAACUUUCAGUCUAUGAAUUUCUUUUUGAAUUAAAUGUUUCUCCUGUGGAGCAUAUUGUUGGAUCUUGCUUCUUGCUCCAUUCUGCCAGUCUGUGUCUUUUGAUUGGUGCGUUGAGACCAUUAACAUUGAUGGUUCUAACUGAUACGCACUGAGUGAUCCUUGUUGUGUUAUUUUCCUGUUGGUUCCCUUUCCCCCUGUUUAACUGCUUGCCUUUCCUGGUGGAUUCAUUCUGUUGGGAUUUGUGGAGUUGUAGUCCUUGUUAUCUUUUUCUAGCAGGUCUUCAGAAUCUUUCUUAGUGCCAGUUUGGUAAUCAUGAAUUUCCUCAGGUGUUCUUUGACAUGGAAUUAUCUUAUUUCUCCAUCCAUUCUGAAAGAUAGUUUUGUGGGGAACACCAAUUUGGGUUGGAGGUUAGAACAUACACAUUAUGCCUUGGCAGAAAGUUUGUCAUGUCCAUAGACUUUGCCUGAGGCUGAGAUUAAGGGCAAAUGACUAAUUAAUCUUGCAGAAGAAAUUUCAAGACAGUCUAAUAUUGGGGAACAGGAAUGGCUACUGUUUGGGGCUAUUAACCAGACUUACACUGAGAAUUAAGAGCAAAGAACCCAGAAGAAUGAUUUUAAGCACUGUGAGUUUGGCCAUAAAUGAAGCACCAGUAAAAUUGUAGACUGCAAAGAAAGAGCAGAUAACUUAGUUGCUGAAAAGGAAGAGGACAGCAGAAAAGAGGGCAUGAGAACAUCACAAAACCCAGCAGGACUCCACCCUCGGCAGCCUUAAAAUUGCAAGAGUGAAAGACUGCUUUGAGAAGAGAGCCCCAGAGAACCAUAUUCCAGAAUGGUGGUGGCCUGUGGAAGCUGUUUCUUGGGAUUUUGUUUAUAGGCCCUUGACCCUUACAGCCAAUGUCAGCUGGCGGCUGACAUUUGGGUCAUUCACACGGUGCUGGUUAUAAGUGCAUGAAAAAUUCAAGAGUUAUGGGAUCAGGAAGGCCAGGCAGAAGGCCUUCAGAUUCAGAAGGAGGCCUGGAAGGCCAUACAAUGUGCCCCUGAAAGGGCAGUGUGAUCCUAACGGUGCAGUGGAGACCCCAGAAGUUUGGAGAAGCCAGGGAUGUGGAUCAUCUGAGGGAAAGUGCAAUGGGGGAUCAGAGCUGACCCGAGAGAGAAGCCAUGGAAGCUACAACCACUAGCAGUGUUGUAAGGGCAGUGGCACCCAGGGCAGUGCCACCCGAGCCCUUUGAAGUUCACAUCUUGCCACAAAUUUCCUCAGAUGCUGGACAUGGAACUACAAGACUUAAAGUUUACCCUGCUGGAUUUUGGUCUUACUUUAUUUCCAUUCCUUCUUUCCACCUCUUUGUACCUUUUAGAAUGGAAAUGUCUGUCUUGUGCCAUUGGAUGUGUUUAAUUUUCAUUUGUACAUCAGUUUAUAGCUAAGAGUCUGCCUUCAAUCUCAGAGGAGACUUUGGACUUGGACUUUUCAACAAUGCUGAAACAGAAUUCUGGCAACUUUAGGCAAUGGAUUAAAUGCCUUUUGCACAAAGAAAUGUAUAUAAGUCUUCAGGAGCUGGGGCAGAAUGUUAAGGUUUGUGUCUGGAUCCUCCCCCCCCAUCAAGUCUCAUGUAGUGAUGUGAGGAUUUCUUAGGGUGGCUUGAGCUAGAGAAUGUGUGCUUCUGGGCUUAUGAGUGUGUGACUAGUAAAUUAGUCCACUAGUAGGUUUAGCACACACCCUAAGCCAGGUAGCCUAGAUAGAAAAAGUGGGACAGAAAGGAGCUGCUCUUGUUCCCUUGCUGGGUUGCUAUUCACCUGCUUGCUUUUUCUGUCUAUUUCCUGUCGUGAACUGUUUGUCCUCUGCAAUCCUCCUCUGCAUGCCACCCUGCCUUGGAACCAGCUGACUAUGAGGCAAAUAAGCCUCUCCCCCUUUAACUUUGAGUGUCUGUUAUUUUGUCUCAGCAACAAGAAAACAAAGACACAUGGUGAGAUGAAGUGUAGUGAUGCAGUGAUCCUGAGACAGUGUUAGGUUGUUGUGGCAGCCGUAAUUGACACAAUCAGUGUAACACUGUGAUAGUCAGUCUAACACUGAACACUGCUAAGAGCUUUUGUUUGUUUUUCAUCACCGUAACAAAACACCUGAGGCAAAUACUUUAAAUGGAAGGAAGGUUUAUUUUAGCUUACAAUUUCAGAUGUUUCAGCCAUGGUGGCUUGCCUCUGCUGCAGCAUAGUACAUUAGAGUGGGAGCACCUGGUUGAGGAGGCUCACCUCAUGGGACCCAGGAAGUCAAACAGAGAGGCAAGUAGGGACUAGGGUUCCCACAUCUCCUUCCAAGGCCACCCCCAAAUACCUCACUUCCACUAGGACCUACUAAAGAUUCCUCUGCCUCCCAUAUAGGGACAUUCAAGAUCCCAAUGAUGGCAGGUACAAAUGGGCAGGUGAUGUACACAGGAGGUUUACACAACACAGAGUAUAUUCAUGUCUUGGGCAGGACAGAGAGGUGUGAGAUGUCUUCAUGCUGUGCAGAAGGGCCUGUUAUUUAAAAACUUGGGAAUUGUUUACUUCUGGAUUUUUCCAUUUAAUAUUUUCAGCUCAUGGUUAAGGGUGAAGGAAACUACUGUAUAUUGGAUCAUUUGUCAUCCUGUGGAAUGGCAAGGUAAUCAUGAGAACUAAUUGGUGGUGGAGACUGGAGAGUGCUGCUGCCACUAUUGAGUGAAAACAAACUUCUCAUUUUAAGUAAUGAGUAUGGAGGAAGAAAUGACUCUCUAGGUAUUGCUGACUUUCUGCAGUAAAAACACCAUAUCCAAGCCAGGUAUGAUAGUGUAGGUAGUUUUGAGAGGUAGAGCCUCUCAAAACUCUGAGAGGUGGAAGCAGGAGGAUUCCAAGUUGGAGCCUCAGCAUGGGCAAUGUAAAGACUCAGUGAAUCAUUAGGUCAAAUUUUAUGCCAAAAUAAAAGUUUAAGAAAAAACUUACUGGAGAUGUAGCUUAAUGCAAAGGCCCUGGCUCGAUCUCCAGUACUUGGGGAGAAAAAGAAAAGAAAAGGAAAAAAAGCAAUUUUCAGAUGCCACAUCUAGAAGUGUCUUGGUAACUUUUUUCUCAUUGUUGAGACAAAAUACCUGACACCCCAAUUAAGGGAGGAAAGGUAGCUUACAGUUUUUAGAGGUUUCAGUCCAUACUCAGCUGGCUCUAAGGCAGGGUGGCAUGGCUGAGGGACAGCAGUUCAUGGCAGCUGCAAGCAAGGAUAGCAAAAAGGACAAAAAGGGAAAAGCCCACCUCCUUCCCUCCCCUAUAUUGUAUGCUGGCUCCCUGCCCCUGGGCAGGUGCAGCAUUCACACCACCAAUCCCAGCACUAGACAAUGAACCAAUCACAAACGCUAGAUUCAGCCACUUCCAUGACUGCAUGAGGCUUUAGUGGGGCACUUAAACAAGUCAUAGCAAGAAGACCACCAUGAAGUUGGAGUCCACUUGAUUAAAUUUGUAAUAUGAAUUUUGCUUUUUAUUUUGGGAAAGAAAGAGAGGCAGAUCUGGUGAUUGUGCUUGGCCAUGUCUAUGAAGUAAUCCUCCCACUGUCACAGGGAGCUGCUGAGAGCGCCUGGCCCAGCUGCCUUAGGCGUCUGGGGAGAGGACUAUGUGUGACCCCUAGGGCCACCAAGCUGCCUGUAGAUAAGUCAGAGCCAAAGCCAUUCAUUUUUUUUAUCUUUUAAAAAUUUUUAUUGGUACAUUUUAGAUACAUAUAAUGAUCAUGUUCAUCAUAGGGAGCUUGUACCUGUGCAUGUUACAUCCUGUUUAUCUCCCCCCACAUUCUCCUCCUCUGUGUCACCCUCUUCCCUCCUUAUUUAACAUAAGGUUUGUUUCCACUUUUUUUUCCUAGUCUUUUUUCUUGUCCCUUCUUUUGUUUUCCCUCAGCCUUCUUGUUCCCCUUCUCAUUUGAACAUUUUCUUCCCAUUUCCCAAUAUCUCUUUCACAUUUUGGUCCUUAUUUACAUUGCCGGUUUCUCACAUCACAGAAACUGUGUGGUAUUUGAAUGUGUGUGUCUGGUUUAUCUCACUUAAGGGUAUGAUCUUGGAGCAGGGAUACAGCUCAGUGGUGGAGCGCUUGUCUGGCAAGCCCAGGGCCCUGAGUUUGAUGCCUGGUACACUCCCACCCCGCCAAAAAGAAGUGUAUGAUCUCAAAGCCCAUCCAUUUAGGGAGCAAUGUCUCAGUCUUCUCCUUCUUUAUGGCCAAGCACCACUAUAUUAUAUAAAACAAAAAAACCUCUUCUUUAUCCAUUCAUCAGUUGAUGGGCAUUUGAGCUGUUUUCAGGACUUGGCUAGUGCACACUGUCUUGCUAUAAAAAACCCCAUUCAUCUCAUGACCUCCAGGAGCCCCUACUCCAGCUGGAGGCCACAGUAAUGAUUGUGUCGGGCAGAGUCCGCGUCAGGACAGCGGAUCUAAGCUGAUCAAAUCUCAGUGUUUCCUUUUCUCUCUCUCCCCUUUGCUCUCCCACAUUAAUGGUUCCAGGUCUCUUUAGGGAAGGCCAGGAGGAACAUUGUAAAAUUUUGUGGUAGCGUAGCAGGGUUCUUCCUCCAAGGUAUUCAGCCUCUCCAUCAUUUGUGAAGUACAGGGUAGUCUCUGGGGCUGGUGAAAUUUCCACCACAGUGAUCCUAGUCCAGCUCGAGUCAUCAAAUCCACUGUUCUUCUUAUUCAGAGCAAUCAAGAGCUUGGAGGGUUGCCUAUCUUUCAGGAUGAGGCAUGUUAAAUUGUAGUUUUUCAAGUCAAAAUAGUGGAUUACCAGUACGUGGCUAAACCAGUAUUUCACUCCUGGAUGCUUCAUGAGCCCUUGGCCUGUGUGAGUCAAGCCGUCCUGGUCAUCACUCUGGCUCUUGCUGUGGCAGUGGCUACACUCUCCUGUGUCUAAGGGCUCCUAGACUCCAGCCACUUCAGAGUUCCAACAGCCUCUAAGUUAGCAACGCUGAAUCCAGAACUACGGUAAGUACAUUGACAUGGAAAUCAAAGCUUGGCCCAACACAACGUUUCUCCUCCCUGGGCUUGCAAUUCUUUUGCUACUUGUAUACAUCUUCAUGGGUCAGAUUUUACGUCUGGGUGUGGGGUAGGGGAUGGGCUGUCCUGGCCAGAGAUUCUAUGGGAUGUAGAGGUUCAACAUUAUUGCUUCAUUGGAGUCUUUAAAGGAACCCCUGUCCAUAUUCUGAGUUCUUUUCUUUCCCAUCUGUGCCCUGAUUCUGACCACAGAGAACUGAGUGGCCAUGAGUUCAAAUCUAGGGGUCCUCCAUAUCCCCGGGCUCCACAUAUUGGAUUCAACCAACUUUGGAUAAAAAUACCUGUAAAUGAGGACGGGUGGGGAGGAGAAGGGGAGAGAAGGAGAAUUAAGAUGUGUUUUGUGUAUAUCCCAACUCACCAUGGAGCAUGUAAUCAUUGUGUAUUGUAAAGUUAUACUAAUAAAAUUUAAAAAUAGGUCAAAAAGGAAAAUAUGUGUAAAAUAUAUUAAGUGAAAGCUAGACCAUGCUGUAUAAACAUAAUAUGUAUAAAUACAAGUGGAUAUAGGGAAAAUACUGAAGCCAUUGUACAAACAUAGCUGGGUUGGCACUAGUCUUCCUAGUUUUACUGAUUUUGUUUAUUAUUGAUGUUACAUUAUUUAAAAUGAACACAUUAUUUGAAGCCAUUGCUUGAUUCCUCCCUAAAACUCAAUUCUUCAAUAAACCCCACUGCAGAUAGAUAAAAAAGUCUGGAAAAAUCCUG